UCACCGGGAGGUCACAGCGUCUCUGCGGCGGAUCGGAACGACCAGGGCGGCUGUCAGGUCCAGCACGGAGGGUGGAUCUACCGCUGGACCGCCUACCCGUGAGCUUCUCAAGGAAAUGGUUGCAGGAGCUGGAGCCAGCUGACUUAGGUUGAAGGCAGAGGACACCCUGGACAGAUGUUGCCAUUCAUGCAACUGCAGGCAUUAAGUCAUGGGAAGGAUCUCUCAGCACCUUUGUGUGGUCAUGACUCUGCUGCAAUGCACAAGUCUGAUAAAACAACAUGAUCCACAAAGAGACUCUUCCUAAGGAGUAAGGUAAAUUUUUGAUAUCGUCUUUAUAUGAAAAAAUAUAGUUGUUUUGUCCUAAUAUCUACAGGGUAGAUAAAGAUUUUACAGUGUGACAGUUUCUAUGAGGCAGUUUAUGUAGUUAUUUGUGGAGUAGGGUGCUGGACUUAGAAUAAACCCCUUCAUGCAUUGUGAGGCGCUUCCUUCCACCUCCUCCUUUGGCCAGUUGUCAGCAGAGAACUGGUGAACAGCAGGACAUGUGUGUUGAUGGCCCAGACCUUGUUCCUCCCAUUCAGCUGACUCUUCAGGACCUACCUUAAUCGUUGUAGGUAUCUGGCUGUGGCAGACUUUCUAACAGCUUCCUAAUGGUUCCCAUUUGCCUGCGUUAUUUGUAACUGUCCUGAACAUCUGCAUACUGCAAAGUAGAGAGCAGAUAUCUCAACUCCUUUGACUUCCAUCUUGAUACAACUUCACCAGAGAAAAAAAUUGUAUUAAGGACACCUGCCUAUAAGGUAGAACUUUCAGUUUAUUUAAUGGAAUUUUUCCCUCCGACAUGUAAACGUCUCUAAAGAUCAUGAAACCGUGUAACAGAACUUUUGCAAAGCCCGGUAUAUGGUUCAGAAAAUGUCAUUGACUGACCUCUGCAUUAUCAUUUUCUUUUUGUAAAUGUGGGCUCAAGGAUGGAACUCUUCAGGAUAGCUUUUUCAUAUUUCAAAUCACUCCUAACCAGAGAUUAUUUCACCUACUUUUCCACUGUUGCAGAUUUGGUAUUUAUAACAUGAUGAAAAAUUAAAAGUGAACAUUUCAGGCUUUUAUUUUUAAUAGUUUCUGAGAUAUUGUGGUUCAACCAUACUUGUUUUCCAUCUUUUUCUCUGUGCCCACAGUCUGACAUUUGAAAUCCAACAAUUCACAUUGUGAUUUAAGUGCACAUUCUUGAAAGUACUUCAGUUUACCUUCAGGUAAAAUUCAACAUUUAUCCCUUUUUAUGAUGUCCACUUUUAAAUAUACUAAAAAAAAGACACAUCAAUGCAUGAAAUAUGCAGGCAGCACAGCGUCUGACUAUUUCUGCUCUGUCACUGUCUAAACAAGAAGAACAUGCAUUUUCAUAAGACAAGAACAAAUUCAAAUUUGAUUCAUUUUUAUUUUUUAUUUUUAUUUUUUUGAAUGCUGUGGGCUAUGCUGGUGAAUUUAAAGUGUCCAAUAAAUUUUCUAAACAGUUCAACAAACAACUGUAAGAUAAACACCAGAAAAGACAAUGCUCCCACAUGCAUGUAAUGGCACACUCUUUACUGCAUAGAAAGGAAAGAAAAAAGCACAUGUUACUCUUUUCUUUCAAGUUGAACGUUGCAGUUCAACACCUUCACUAUUAACACAUCUAAAAUACUUGGAGACAGUCUCACGUAGUGAAGAAAAAACAUUUCUGAAGGCACCAGGUUCCUUUGGUGCUGUCCUCAGGUGUUUCUUGAAACAUGAAACAUUCAUCUGGUCAGCUAUUGGUGGGCCGGAAUGCAGAAAAGUCAGUGCAAGGGUGGGAGUGCCCCACUGUCUACAAAGGUCCUUGAAAAUGGUCUUGUCCAGCAUUUUGGACUUUUCUGGGGUGAUGAUAACAUCAUCCUUGACAGCAGCCCAUACUUUUUCAAACAGUUCCUUAUUGAGGGCGUCCAAUUCUUCUGAAGAGAGGUUAGCAUUUGCACCUCUAGUGGUCUGCAAAAUCACUGCCUCAACGAGUGCGCUUACACACAGUUCUGUGGUUGCGCUUGUAACCUGAUCAGGUUUUUCCUCAGAUGCACAGGCAGCCAUGGAACGUGCACUGAUGUCCACAAAGACCUCUGGUGAUUGUCGCUGAGAAACAACUGUCUCCUCACAGGUAGCAUCUGGUGAUGGCAGAUGAACAAUAUUAAACAAGGCAAUAGUCUUGUCUGGGAUGGCUUGGGCGCCUGAGGAUGGGGCUGGUGCUACUGUGAUUUCUGUCUCCUCACAGGUAACAUCUGGUGACUGCUGCUGAGACCUGACUGUCUCCUCACAGGUUUUUUUUUGUGUGUUUAAUAUAAUGUGUGAUAUAUUUUCUGAAUUUCACUGAUGGUUAUGGGCCAAAUUCUUCCUUGUUCUUUAUAUGUGAGCUUGGCUGUAUUUCUUUGUGCACUUUAGAACAGAAGUUGUGGAUGUUGGUUUGUGUUUAGAUGAGUAGAUAAUUACUCAAUUGUGAUGUGGGAAUUGUGUAUAGGUUAGUAAUACUAGCUCUAUCUAAUUUCAGAAUCACACGCAGAUAUAAAUGCAGAGUCCUGUGAAUUUCACGAUGGCACAAUAAAGACGACUGAGAUCAUCAGCUGCGCUCUGCAUUUUAUUGAAGUCCUUGGAGAACUUUGAGCAUCCUGACGGAUGCACACUCCGCGAUUGUGCUAAACUCCGGCUAUCAAGUUUAAUAAUUGAUCCUCCGCAACAUAUACCAUAUUUACAAACUGUCUAUCAAUGCAGACAAAACCAUUAAUUAGAGAUAUCAUCAUCUCACCUCAAGAAUUUGAAGAACUGGACAUGUCUUUGUCAAACACCACCAUUGAACAUCUGUCAUUUCUGAAACAUUCCCAAAGUCAAUAAAGAAUUCACUGAAAAAUGGAACAACCAUUGCAGAAGUGAAACAUAAAUUGCUGAAGUCACUCUGGUAAAUGCACUGGACUAGAGGGCUGCAAUGCUACAAUUGUUUUUCAAACUCUUCGUGGCCUUGCUCCUUUAUAUUUAUCUGAGCUUUUAACCAUCCACCGCCCCAGCAGAGCCCUCCGGUCGUCUACACAGAUGGUGCUGGACGUGCCCAGGUCCCGGUACAAGCAGUGGGGUGAUCGUUCCUUCGCUGUUGCCACUCUGAGACUCUGGAACGUACUCCCACUUGGACUUUAAUUUAUCUCUGACCUGUCGCUUUUUCAGUCCAGACUCAAAACUCGCCUAUUCAGACGUGCCUUCAACUCCUAGGAUUGUUUUAUUCUCAUGUUGCCCAAAAUGCCUCCUUUAUAUAUCGCUGAUUCAUCUGUGCUGCAUUUUGGUUUUAUGGUUUUAUGGUUUUGUGAUAACCAAAUCGUAUUGUUUUGUUUUAUCAUGCUGUUGGAAAUCACUUUGGUCUUCUUUUAUGUUGUUGUAAAGUGCUCUAUAAAUACAUUUUGAUUGAUUGAUUGAUUGAUCAUUGAUUCAUGGGUGUGUAAGGGUUGUAGUAUUACCUGUCCAGUGGAUCUUCAGGCUCAGGGCCAAUCAGCAGUCCAAGCACAGCUUCAAGGAUGUCUCUCAUGGUGAUUUGGGCAUUGUAGUUUUGGUCAAAUAUGUUGUGGCAGAUGCGGCCCGCCGCCCAUGUUGUUAAUGUUGCAAUGGUAUAAUCUUUGUUAUAUCUAUGUUAAGAGAAUAAUUGUACAGGUGAACCUAAUACCAUAGUGUCUGUUAUUAACACUGCAUGUUAUCUUUUUGAGAGAUAAAGCAGUACUUUUAUUUUGCAAAA